GGUCAUCCAAGGGUAAUCUAGGGUCAUUCCUAGUAGCUCCCAUUCAAAUAUGGGAAGUAUGCUACCAAAGAGCCAGAUUUGGUGGUGAAAGCAGCUGUUUUGUCAGCAGGAGAAAAAAAAUCACCCUGCUGCUCAGCAUGCCAUCUUUGGAGGACCUCAAAGUUAGAUUGUGACUGGGCAGAUCUAAGUGAGUUGCCUGGAGUACAGACUCAUGAGAUCUUGAGUGAGUUAGAUUCUGUGAAUCUCAAGGAUGUGGACACGAUCCUCCAAUCUAUCAGUCUGGCCAUCAGUCUAUUACAUCCCAGGCCCUUUGGGGUUAGUAAGGUAGCCCAGGAGUGACCAGGGGAUGAUGAAAUAAUGGAGGAACUAUUGGCAAAAGCUUUGGGAAUAGGAAAGGACGAAAUGCUGAUCAAAAUGGAUGAAGUUUAUAGAAUACAGACUAAUUAUGCAAGACCCCACAACCUACCGAAAGAAAUUCAUGUAAGAUUCGUCAAAAAAUCAGAGAUGAGAUCCUCCAUAGAACAAGAGAUGACAGAGGGA